rnacentral:rRNA from 1 species
CACUUCUAAGGAAGGCAGCAGGCGCGCAAAUUACCCAAUCCUGACUCAGGGAGGUAGUGACAAGAAAUAACAAUAAACCGGCUUAUGCCGGUUUAAUUGGAAUGAGUACAAUUUAAACAUCUUAACGAGGAACAAUUGGAGGGCAAGUCUGGUGCCAGCAGCCGCGGUAAUUCCAGCUCCAAUAGCGUAUACUAAAGUUGUUGCAGUUAAAAAGCUCGUAGUUGGAUUUCUGUGGGGACGGAGCGGCCGGCCGCAACACGCGGUUCGAGCUAGCGCUUUCCCUACAUCCUGCCGCGAACCGUGCUACCAUUAAUUUGGUGGCGCCGGGGAUCGGCUCGAUUACUUUGAGAAAAAUAGAGUGUUCAAAGCAGGCCACAUGCCUUGAAUAAGUUAGCAUGGAAUAAUAACUAAGGACUUCGGUUCUAUUUUGUUGGUGUUCGGGACUGAAGUAAUGAUUGAUAGGGACAGUUGGGGCGGUCUGUAUUCCAAAGCGAGAGGUGAAAUUCUUAGACCUUCGGAAGACAAACAGCUGCGAAAGCGUUCCGCAAGGAUGUUCCCUUUGAUCAAGAACGAAAGUUGGGGGAUCGAAGACGAUCAGAUACCGUCGUAGUCUCAACUAUAAACUAUACCAGCUAGGGAUCGGCCAACGUUAUUUAAACCGACUUGGUCGGCACCUUAUGAGAAAUCAAAGCAUCUGGGUUCCGGGGGGAGUAUGGUCGCAAGGCUGAAACUUAAAGGAAUUGACGGAAGGGCACCACCAGCCGUGGAGCCUGUGGCUUAAUUUGACUCAACACGGGAAAACUUACCAGGUCCAGACAUAGUAAGGAUUGACAGAUUGAUAGCUCUUUCUUGAUUCUGUGGGUGGUGGUGCAUGGCCGUUCUUAGUUGGUGGAGUGAUUUGUCUGGUUAAUUCCGUUAACGAACGAGACCCCAGCCUGCUAAAUAGCGCGUGUGAGCUUUGCUCGCAGCGAGCUUCUUAGAGGGACUAUGAUGCGCGAUAGCACAUGGAAGUUUGGGGCAAUAACAGGUCUGUGAUGCCCUUAGAUGUUCUGGGCCGCACACGGGCUACACUGGCGCCUGCAACGAGCAUAUCAGCUGGCCCGAGAGGGUCUUGGCUAAUCUUUUGAACCGGCGCCGUGCUUGGGAUUGACCUUUGCAAUUGUUGGUCAUGCAACGAGGAAUGCCUUGUAAACGCGAGUCAUCAGCUCGCAUUGAAUACGUCCCUGCCCUUUGUACACACCGCCCGUCGCUCCUACCGAUGAAUGUUCCGAUGAAAUUUUCGGAGAGUGCCUGUGAACUUGGCUCUGCCUUGCGAACGGGAAGCUCAAAGUCACUUAAAUCUGAACAUUUCGAGG